rnacentral:rRNA from 1 species
AGUGAACGCUGGCGGUAGGCCUAACACAUGCAAGUCGAACGGCAGCACAGGAGAGCUUGCUCUCUGGGUGGCGAGUGGCGGACGGGUGAGGAAUACAUCGGAAUCUACUUUUUCGUGGGGGAUAACGUAGGGAAACUUACGCUAAUACCGCAUACGACCUACGGGUGAAAGCAGGGGACCUUCGGGCCUUGCGCGAUUGAAUGAGCCGAUGUCGGAUUAGCUAGUUGGCGGGGUGAAGGCCCACCAAGGCGACGAUGCGUAGCUGGUCUGUGGGGAUGAUCAGGCACACUGGAACUGAGACACGGUCAAGACUCCUACGGGAGGCAGCAGUGGGGAAUAUUUGACGAUGGGCGCAAGCCUGAUCCAGCCAUACCGCGUGGGUGAAGAAGGCCUUCGGGUUGUAAAGCCCUUUUGUUGGGAAAGAAAUCCAGCUGGCUAAUACCCGGUUGGGAUGACGGUACCCAAAGAAUAAGCACCGGCUAACUUCGUGCCAGCCGCCGCCGUAA